rnacentral:rRNA from 1 species
GACGAACGCUGGCGGCGUGCCUAACACAUGCAAGUCGAGCGGUAUGGAGAAGCUUGCUUCUCCAGAGAGCGGCGGACUGGUGAGUAACACGUGGGUGACAUACCUUUUAGUUGGGGAUAGCUAUUAGAAAUAGUAGAUAAUACCGAAUGUGACCAUUACAGUUAGAGUGUAAUGAGGAAAGGAGCUAAGGCUCCGCUAAAAGAUUGGCCCGCGGCCCAUUAGCUAGUUGGUGAGGUAACGGCCCACCAAGGCGAUGAUGGGUAUCCGGCCUGAGAGGGUGAUCGGACACAUUGGGACUGAGAUACGGCCCAGACUCCUACGGGAGGCAGCAGCUAAGAAUAUUCCACAAUGGACGAAAGUCUGAUGGAGCGACGCCGCGUGGAUGACGAAGGCCGAAAGGUUGUAAAAUCCUUUUAAACUGGAAGAAUAAUCAUGGUAGGGAAUGACCGUGAGGUGACCGUACAGUUUGAAUAAGCAACGGCUAAUUACGUGCCAGC